GUGGUAUGUUAAGCACAUAUACUAAAAUUGGAAUGAUAUGGAGAAGAUUAGCAUGGUGCCUGCACAGGGAUGACAUACAAAUUCAUGAAGCUCCAUAUUAAA
ensembl:snRNA U6 U6 spliceosomal RNA